AACGAAGCAUGGAUCAAGAGGAGUAAGGUUUUUAUUUAUUGCAGAGAGAGGACAUUCGGUGCGAGUCCUUAUAAAUAGAAUCUGAAGGUAGCUUGUGAGCGAACUGGUGAGCAGCCCAUUACAACUGCUAAGAGAGAUAUGUAGAUAGUUAUUUUUCUACAUAUAAUUUAGGUGGUACCGCGAGUAACUAAGCAUUCGUCCUUUAG
rnacentral:ncRNA from 1 species